UCUCCAAGGAAAUUGAUUCACUCUGUGGAGACUCUCUUUGGGAGAGGCCAAAGUUCCUUACAGCUUCUGGGAUCACAAAACCCUUUUCAACAAGAUCCCUUAGGCCCAGGCUCCUAAAAACUGUGUAAUAAAUUUACCAUCAAAACAAUCUCACUUGAUCCCUCUGAGACCAUCAUGCUACAAACAAAGGCUGAGCUCAUUGAUGAAGAAGUCUUGAGUUCAUCAUUUUUUCUUCUCUAAUAGCUGAGAUGGCAGUCAAUGAGAGUGACUGCAGAAAGUUUCAGAAGGACACAUGGGAAUCAUUUAACCAGGCCAAUAAAAUCAGCUAUUUAUACACUUCCCCCGGAAGACAUAGCCCUUGCUUCACUGUCUGAAGGAGAGAAAAUGCAAAAGUGAUAAAGGCAUGAAAAAGUCAUAUUCCUGAGCUACAAGAGAGAAACUGAGGACAGUGGAGAUGAGAAUAAAAUCCCUAAAGCUUAAAGGAUGCUGGA
rnacentral:lncRNA from 1 species